AAACGUUGUUGCGAAAGCAUUCCUGCUUAGUACGAGAGAAACCGCAGGUAAGGACCAAUGUCAGAAUACUUAUUUGAGCGAACAGUGGUAUGUCCGUUGGAUUAUGCCUGAACGCCUCUAAGAUCGUAUCCGUGCUGGACGGCAAUGAUAAAAUUUGCAUUGGCUUCUAAACUAUUUAAAGUUUAUUAUCUAGGGAAGCUGGAAGAGUUGAGUGAAAGACCCCCCGUGGGUAAGUCUGACAUUCAAGCGGGAAAGUUUCCUGGGAGGAAUUAGGAGUAUAGGCUGAAGGACCCUCCGUGGGUAAGUCCGACAGUCUCAAGUGCGGAUUUAUUAAAUUUUAUUUGCAUAUUAAAAUUUUAUUUAUUUAUUAAAAUUUAAAUAAUUUAAAUGUUUAAAGAAUUCAU
rnacentral:ncRNA from 1 species